UACGAAGGGGGCUAGCGUUGUUCGGAAUUACUGGGCGUAAAGGGCGCGUAGGCGGCCCUGUCAGUCAGAUGUGAAAGCCCCGGGCUCAACCUGGGAACCGCAUUUGAUACUGCAGGGCUUGAGUUCCGGAGAGGAUGGUGGAAUUCCCAGUGUAGAGGUGAAAAUUCGUAGAUAUUGGGAAGAACACCGGUGGCGAAGGCGGCCAUCUGGACGGACACUGACGCUGAGGCGCGAAAGCGUGGGGAGCAAACAGG
rnacentral:rRNA from 1 species